GCAAACCCUGCAGAAACAAAAGCAUAUAUUACAAGUUACACUUAACAGAUAUCGGACUUAACCACACAGUACGUAAGGAAUGAAAAACACUCAUCUUGGGGAUGUGCUGCUACAGGAAAAUAAUCAACCACAAGGUGGCGUAAUGAAGCGGAGUUACUGUUACCACCCUAAAGUUAUUCUUAUCAUCCUGUAAUGGAACAUCCUGAGGUCGUUUACACACCACAUCAAUUUGCCUACAAUUAUGAUAGAUAUUUAUUUUUAUUCGUUAAAGAAUUGCAUUCACCUUUUUUUUUAUCCAUUUAUAGUUACUUUUCAUGAACAUCCACAAAAAAACAACAGUAAACAACAACAACAACACAAAACAAAAAGUCCCCUCCUGAAUGCUUACACAGCGCUCACACUGGACACUCCUUCCAGAGUCAGUACCGGUUAUUUUUUAUAAUAAAGUUCAGCAAUAUUUUACUUUGAGUGUUAUGUUUUCGUUCAGGAUCAAUUUUAAAAACUAAAAAUCGGUUGACUAAUCGGUGUCCACAAGUAUUGCCCAACUUAGUUAUCAGUAAAAUCCACUAACGGUCGAACUCUAUUCACUAUAUCAACUUACCCCCCCAUGAGCUACAGAAAUGAUAACAUUGGAGAGCGAGUAGCGUGUUCACAUAAACCUGCGAUUUGCCUUCAUCAGAGCUGCCAUUAUAGAACCUUAAAAUCACCACCCUCUGACCAAUCAGAUUUGAGGAUUCCGCAGCGGUGUGGUUUAAUGUUUAUAGAACUGUAAAAUAAAUACAAGUAGAAAAAAACAAAACAUGACUAUGGAAGAGGGAGUGGUAAGUUUAUAUAGAGCUGAAUUGUCUAACCCUGUUUAUUCAGUAUAUUAACGGCCUGCCUCACACCAACACUCGAUAAUUACGGGCGUGUCUCCUUUUGAGAUGAAAGAAUGCGAACAAACAAACAAAAAUCUUCUGUAGGAGUCAGGAAGAAGCGCGAUCCUCGACAGUCACGGGGACUCCUGAACGCGCUCCGACUCAAUAAAACUCCCUGCAGGUGACAGGAAAAACAGGCCACGCUAGUACCAUGUUAUGAAAAGGCCGUAUUGACAACUGUUUACGAAACGAAUUCACACACACGUAAACAUUCAGUGUUAACUCGAAUUAGCAACACUUCGCUUUAAGACAGAUCUUCCGCAAAAUCCAAAAGAAUUAACGUGCGCUGAAUAUCAGCUCACACGACACUCGCACUGAACCACAGCGACGCUCUUACGAGUCCUAGCUAACCCCAGCUAACCAUCUCAACAGCAAGGCAGACGAAAUAAAGAUUAGCGAUGCUGCAGCGACAGCUAAAGGUCAGUCGUUACAUAAUAAUCACGGACUGAAAAUCGAGACGUCGUUAUUUUGUCAUAUUGAUGACCAAAAUGUUGGAAAACUGAAUUCUUUUCGAUUCAGCAGGUCAUAAACCUCUUUAUAACUGCUCACUAAGCAGACUCAUUUGUCCUCAAUGUUGUUUUUUUCCCCCCGUCACUUAACCACCAACUUGUGACUUGGUUAAUCGGGAAGUUAAAAUAAAAUUAAAAAAAAAAAAAAAGGAAAGAUUAUUGGUGGAAGUGGAUUCUUGCCAAAUAACAGCAUGUUCUGAAGGGUUGUAUCCCUUUUAUACCACUGCAACCAUGUUUCAUUUAUUAAAGAACGACGCAUUGUACUUUUUGUCCGUUGAAAGACGCGUUUAAUUAUCCUCUGUACCGAAAAGCAUAAACUACUCCGUCCUGAAGACUUUCCCAUUUCGGGAAACCUGCUGUUACAAAGUGCUGACACUGGAGACUCCUUCCAUAAAUGUUAAACAUGUCUGUACUGAAAACUUGUCCAGGAUGAGUUGUUACUAUGGAAACAAUAAUACAUUGGAACAAGCGCAUCAAGUGUAACUUUAGAUAGAUGGGCGGGAAGACAAACAGGCGGACAAACGGACAGAAAGGUGAACGGACAGAUGGUCAGACAGGCUCACAGGCGGCUGGACGGACAGAGAGACGGACAGGGAAAUGGACAGAUGGACAGAGAGGCGGACAGAAGGACGGACAGCGAGACAGACAGACAGACAGAACAACGAUCGUGAUUUCAGUAUUAAGCAAAACAGCUGAUGAUCCUUUUAAUGUAACAUGCUCUUCACAUGAUUUCACGUGUUUUACAGGUGACUGCCAUCUUGGUGAAAGUGCUGCACAUGUGAUCACAUCAUAAAAAUGCUACUACACCGUCAUUCCACUCAAAUUAAAUAAUAAAGUCAUGAAGAACUCACUGUGAGCGCACACAACGACUUCCACACCACAUACCGGUUCCUUUAAACCUGAACUCUUCAAUCCUAGGAGUUAUUCUUUAACUGAGACAGACGCACGCUACAGGUACGAAAGAUACACCCUUGAUGGUUCUCCAGAAACAAGGAAAAGUAACUCCAACAAAUGUACAGUUAUUUGUACACCUUUAUUUAUAGUUAUUUGUACAACGUAUAUUACAAUACAUUAAAAAUGACAUUCUGUAAAAUGUAGUUGUUUUUCUUAUUAAGCAUACGGCACUGGCAUUGCUGGCCAUUCAGGCACUUGUUCUUGUUCAGAAAACAGCAGUGUUAAAAAGUCACAUAAAUCAUCCAUUAUGGCAAACUGAGUUUAAAUAUGUAACAGUUCUUUUUUUUGUUUGUUUAUUUGUUAAAAAUAGACACUUUUCUCAACUAACGAAUUCCAUUACCAAUGCAUAGAUAUUCCUAACUGUAUCUGAAUAAAUUCUUAGUUCAUAAAGAGAAUUUUGGGGUGCAGAAGUAUGGGAAAUGUUUGACACAAAACAAACAUGAAGGAGAGGAGAAAAAUAAAAACGACAAACACUAGUCACGUAGUGAGUAAAGAAAAUGACACCAUUCUGAUCAUAGCUGAUCAUCUCAACAAGAGGAGACGGAAGUGCAAAAGUAGCAACAGUAGUGUAAACAUUAUGUAGAAGUUCUCCAUCCCACAUACACCCAGUCAUCCCUUAAUGCAAAAAAAAAAAAAAAAAAAAUAGUGUGCUUGAGCAUAAUCCAUCACGCAGAGCAAAGGCAUUAAUGUGGUAAAGAUUCAAGCCUUACAGUUAAGAUUCAUGCGAGAGACGAAAAAUAUUCACAAACGUAAAUAAAUUAAAAGACGUUAUAACAUGAGCUCCUUUCUCUGCCCCGAUGAAGCUUACGUUACGUUGCAACUAAGAAAGAUGUUCCAGGCAGAGUUAAGGGCGAUAAAUAAGCUUUGAAAGGUGCAUUAUGUAGAAAACAUUUGCACAGUACAACAUUUUAUCCUAUUAGUGGAUUUUGUAACAAUAUAUAAUCAGGUUCGUAGCAUUUCAGGUAGAACAAAGAUAAAAUUCGAUAAGAUUCGGCUCUUUUCGUGUACGAUUUGGGUGAUUUUUCAUCAAGAUUUACCAUUCUGGCAUAAAUAUGUUGAGUAAAUUCAUUCUGCUGUGUGAAGCUGUGAAAUAUGAAGCUACAUUUUUUGAUGCAGCAACUGUACCAAUAAUUACCAUUAUGGAUCUUUUUUUUUCCUCUAGCAAUUAUCUUUUUCUUUUCCAUCUUUAUCAUUUUCAUAAAUGGACUUCCUAUAUAAAUGCAGCUUCUUUAAAAAAAAAAAAAGAAAAGAAAAA